UUUAUGUGUAUGGGAGAAGUUUUUUUCUUACUCUCAACUUCGCGGGGGAACUUCGGCUCGAACAUCCAACCUAGGUUUGAUAUAACACAACCUGUGUGUUUGGUACCAUCAAGACAAAAAUAACACUGAUCGAGCAAAACUUAUCUUGUCUCGGUUUCUUUGUUGUCUCUGAAGAUUUGACUGCCAUAAAAAAUAUUAAUCGAGAUUCUUUUGUUAUGUUAAUUUAAAGCUUUGUAAUAUUGUCUCGUUUAAUAUGCUUAAAUGUCACUGCAGCCCACGUGAAUUUAUCUUCAAGAAAAAGUUUGUUUUUCUUUGUCCAAGUUGUUUCGAAACUUGUUAACAAUCAUUUGUUAUCAAACCAUGCACCAUCAGCAUUUUCGAAAAAUCUUCAACGAGAGAAAUUUUUUAAGGAUUUUAUUGGUAACUUAACGGAGUAAUAAUUCAUUGAAAUUUUUCAGAAGUUAUUAUAUAUAUUCGAAUCGUGAAGUUCAUACAUAGCAAUCCUGCAUCCUGGAAUUUUCGAGAUCAGUUAUAAAAAAAUCCAGUUAAAGUUUAACUAUUGUUUUAGAAUAUAUACUAUAUAUAUGUAAAAAAAAUUAUUUUUUAUUUAUCAAGUUGUAUUUUACGUUAAUUACAAUAAUAAUUGAGAAUUAGGAUA